rnacentral:sRNA from 1 species
UUGCAUGGGGGAUUUUUUGAUCUUGCGC